GACGAACGCUGGCGGCGUGCUUAACACAUGCCAGUCGAACGUGAUUUUUGUGGAAAUUCUUUCGGGAAUGGAAAUGAAAUGAAAGUGGCGAACGGGUGAGUAACACGUGAGCAACCUACCUUACACAGGGGGAUAGCCGUUGGAAACGACGAUUAAUACCGCAUGAGACCACAGAAUCGCAUGAUAUAGGGGUCAAAGAUUUAUCGGUGUAAGAAGGGCUCGCGUCUGAUUAGCUAGUUGGAAGGGUAAAGGCCUACCAAGGCGACGAUCAGUAGCCGGUCUGAGAGGAUGGACGGCCACAUUGGAACUGAGACACGGUCCAAACUCCUACGGGAGGCAGCAGUGGGGAAUAUUGCACAAUGGGGGGAACCCUGAUGCAGCGACGCCGCGUGAGCGAAGAAGGUUUUCGAAUCGUAAAGCUCUGUCCUAUGAGAAGAUAAUGACGGUAUCAUAGGAGGAAGCCCCGGCUAAAUACGUG
rnacentral:rRNA from 1 species